rnacentral:lncRNA from 1 species
GGAGGUUUCACCUGCAGCUACAACUAGACCCCUAACCUGGGAACUUCCCUAGGCCCCAGGGGUGGCCUUAAAAAAAUAAAAGUUUGCCAUUCAAAGGUCAGUCUCCCACAGGAGCUCGCCACACAUGUAGGAUCAGAGAACCACAAUCUGCCCCCCGCCCCCAUGCUGUCGGCACUGAACGCAAGCAGACAAUGGUGUGGACCUGCUACCAGGACGCUCCCCGCCUCCCCUCUGCCCUGGGGGCCGCCCCGCCCCGCGUCUCACCCCCAGACCCAGCACGGCCUGUGAUCCCCCCCCCCCACCUCCGAGGUGUUCUCAGCAAAGACCCCAGGCCCGGGGCCUCCAUCUAAGCUGGGCCAGGACAGCAGGAAGGAGCAGGCCUUGCAGGGCGUCCAGCCACCCAGGGACGCGGUACAGGCGCAGGAGGACCAGCCUAGGGGGCGAAACUGAGUUGGGGGAGCUCUGAGAAAUGCCCCAGGGCAAGGCCGUGCCUGCAACCACCAGAAUGCGGACGCCCAGGCCCCCUGAAGCCUUGGGGCUGAGCGAUCUGUCAAGCGCAUCCUCAAGGCCACAGCUCAAGGCCACAGCGGGCCACAGGCCCGAGCAGGAAACGGCCACCCACAGGGCAGGUACGAACCCCCAACUGGAGACUCAGCAAUGGGUCUGAGGGGGUGGGGCUCCCUCUCACAGGCUCUCUGCUGGAAGCCACCAUCCGGUCCUACCUGCUCCAGGACACACAGGGUGGAGGGCCUGUGCACCCAGGUGCCCACUCAGCCUCUGGCCACGGGUUCCUGUGCCCCGGCCAGGCCAUACCCACCCCCUUCCGGCCACAGACAGCGGGGGGCUGCUCGGGUGACCCGAGCCAGCAGGCACUCAAACCCUUGGCAGGAUGCCCCACAGGUCCCUGGGGAGCAAAUGGGCCUGCGUGGUUACAGGAACUUGGCUCAGGGCCUGGCACCAGCCAGCGCCCACUGGCAGUGAGCCGUGGCCGCUGUUUAUUACAUGACCCACCCUUCCUGCACCCCCCCGUCCCUGGGGAACCGUCCCAGAAGACACUUCCCACAGCCGCAGGGAGGGCCACUGGAGCCCCAGAACCCUCUACGGGAAA